rnacentral:rRNA from 1 species
GACUGCGUACCUUUUGUAUAAUGGGUCAGCGACUUAUAUUUAGUAGCAAGGUUAAGUGAAUAACGGAGCCGUAGCGAAAGCGAGUGUUAACUGCGCGUUUAGUUGCUAGGUAUAGACCCGAAACCCGGUGAUCUAGCCAUGAGCAGGUUGAAGGUUGAGUAACAUCAACUGGAGGACCGAACCCACUGUCGUUGAAAAGCCAGGGGAUGACUUGUGGAUCGGAGUGAAAGGCUAAUCAAGCCCGGAGAUAGCUGGUUCUCCCCGAAAGCUAUUUAGGUAGCGCCUCGGACGAAUACCACAGGGGGUAGAGCACUGUUUCGGCUAGGGGGUCAUCCCGACUUACCAACCCGAUGCAAACUCCGAAUACCUGUGAGUACUAUCCGGGAGACACACGGCGGGGGCUAACGUCCGUCGUGAAAAGGGAAACAACCCUGACCUCCAGCUAAGGCCCCUAAUUCAUGGCUAAGUGGGAAAGCAGGUGGGACGACCAAAACAACCAGGAGGUUGGCUUAGAAGCAGCCACCCUUUAAAGAAAGCGUAAUAGCUCACUAGUCGAGU